GCCUAGAUAGCUCAGUGAGUAGAGCAUCAGCCAUUUAAUCUGAGGGUCCAGAAUUCAAGUCCUUGUCCAGGUC
rnacentral:tRNA from 1 species